AUCAGCCACACUGGCACUGCGACACGGGCCAGACUCCUACGGGAGGCAGCAGUAAGGAGUAUUGCGCAAUGGGCGAAAGCCUGACGCAGCGACGCCGCGUGGGGGAUGAAGGUCUUCGGAUUGUAAACCCCUUUCGGGAGGGAAGAUGGUUGCAUACAAGUGCAACGGACGGUACCUCCAGAAGCAGCCACGGCUAACUUCGUGCCAGCAGCCGCGGUAAUAAU
rnacentral:rRNA from 1 species